rnacentral:rRNA from 1 species
GAUGUUAAGUCAGUUGUGAAAGGCUGCGGCUCAACCGCAGCACUGCAGUUGAUACUGGCGUCCUUGAGUGCGGUUGAGGUAUGUGGAAUUCGUGGUGUAGCGGUGAAAUGCUUAGAUAUCACGAAGAACUCCGAUUGUGAAGGCAGCAUACUAAGCCGCUACUGACGUUGAGGCUCGAAAGUGUGGGUAUCAAACAGGAUUAGAUACCCCUGGUAGUCCACACGGUAAACGAUGAAUACUCGCUGUUGGCGAUAUACAGUCAGCGGCCAAGCGAAAGCAUUAAGUAUUCCACCUGGGGAGUACGCCGGCAACGGUGAAACUCAAAGGAAUUGACGGGGGCCCGCACAAGCGGAGGAACAUGUGGUUUAAUUCGAUGAUACGCGAGGAACCUUACCCGGGCUUAAAUUGCACUGGACAGUCUCAGAGAUGGGAUUUUCUUCGGACCAGUGUGAAGGUGCUGCAUGGUUGUCGUCAGCUCGUGCCGUGAGGUGUCGGCUUAAGUGCCAUAACGAGCGCAACCCUUGCCAUUAGUUACUAACAGGUCAUGCUGAGGACUCUAGUGGGACUGCCAUCGUAAGAUGUGAGGAAGGUGGGGAUGACGUCAAAUCAGCACGGCCCUUACGUCCGGGGCUACACACGUGUUACAAUGGGAGGUACAGAAGGCUGCUACCCGGCGACGGGAUGCCAAUCCCCAAAACCUCUCUCAGUUCGGAUUGGAGUCUGCAACCCGACUCCAUGAAGCUGGAUUCGCUAGU